rnacentral:rRNA from 1 species
GGUUGACCUCGGAUCAGGGAGGAUAC